UGAUAUAUAUGUACAUAUCUACCUCUUAGGCUGGUCUUGGAAUCUCUGUGUGGCCAAAGACAGCUCUGGGGUUCUGAUUUCUCCAUCUCCACGAUGCUAGAAUCAUAGAAACUCGCCCCGUACCUGGGUAUGCAGAGCAGUGAUGGACAGCAGGCCUUCCGCACGCUGGGCAGCUCAUCUCAGGCCCCUUACGCCAUUCAAAACUGAAGCUACAAAGACGAUGAAGUGCAGGUGACAAAAUCCAGGAAGUCUCACAAAAGGACCAGAAAGUCCACUGUCAGCUACAUCUGCAAGCCUGGGACAGGAUGCCUGGCGUUCUCAUGGCAGCUGGUGGCAGUGUGACCCCAGAUACCGUUCCGUCCCCAGGUCCCAGUCUCCUCAUUUCCAGUCCUCUCUGAGGGUUGCUAGACUCUCCAGGGCACUGGACUUCAGGCUGUAGGCAGCUGGGCCACCUGUCCCUGUCCUUGAGGUCUCUGAUGGGGCAGCCUCCUCACUGCCUUUGGAUCUUCCUACUGUGGAGACCCCUACAGACAGCCCUGCAUUUAAACUGGCAACGGAGGGAAGCCAGGCUUCUGGAAGGGUCUUUAUUGCCACUGACCAUAGACCUCCUCAGACCCUGCUGCUUGCAGGAUUUGAUUCCAUCUUGAAUCAACACCCAGAGCUGAUGAAAAGCAAGGUUCUCAAAGCCUGCACAUGUUCAUGUUGGAAACAUCAUGUGGUCCACAGGGCUGGCGCAGAGCUUGGUGGCAGGGCACGCGCCUAGUGUGGUUAAGACCCCGGGUUCAAUCACCAUCAGUAUGUGGGGGUUGGGGAGGCAGAGAUGCCCUACAAAAGCCUACACUGCUGGAAAAUGCUCACGUCACAAAAGAGGAGAUCAGAAGUGACAGCAGGGAGGACCAGAUGCAGAAGGACUGAGACGAUGUGACAGCUAAGAGGCUGUGACCAACAAAGUGGUGUCCACAUCAGAGCUGCAGUGGCCGUCCCAUCCGCUCCCAUCCCCCAAGCCCAGCAUGAGAUGGAAGUGUGAAGCCCUGGAUUAGGCAGGCUCCCGCCAGACCAGCCUUUACUUCUCUCAGGUACCCUAAGGGCUGGAAGGGAAGGGUCCAGAGCUGCAGUCACCUUUGCUCUACAGCCCAGGCUCCCAUUUCCAAGGAUAUCUCUUGGGUUUUAUGGCUUCUGGUGCUGCGGCCAUCUCUCACGCAUUCCAGCCUCAGGAAGAAAAAGGAACAAGACAGCCAUGGGAAGAGCUAAGUACUUGCUGCCUUUUUGAGAGAACUUUCCAGAAACUCAUCUGCCUCUUAGUGAGGUAAACAGUCACGUGGUCUUGCCUGGCUUCAAGGGCAUCUGGAAAUACAGUCUUUUAAAAUUC